rnacentral:tRNA from 1 species
ACUUAAAUAAUUUAAUAAUAAAAUAUUGAUUUGUGGGGUCAAAAAUAUGAGUGAGUAAUCAUUUUAAGUU